rnacentral:rRNA from 1 species
GAGUUUGAUCCUGGCUCAGGAUUAACGCUAGCGGCAGGCCUAAUACAUGCAAGUCGAGGGGCAGCGGGGGUAGCAAUACUUGCCGGCGACCGGCGCACGGGUGCGUAACGCGUAUGCAACCUACCUAUGACUGGGGAAUAGCCUUCUGAAAGGAAGAUUAACACCGCAUAAAAUCACGAGACGGCAUCGCCUUGUGAUCAAAUCUCCGGAGGUUAUAGAUGGGCAUGCGUGACAUUAGCUAGUUGGUGAGGUAACGGCUCACCAAGGCGACGAUGUCUAGGGGGUCUGAGAGGAUGAUCCCCCACACUGGUACUGAGACACGGACCAGACUCCUACGGGAGGCAGCAGUAAGGAAUAUUGGACAAUGGGCGCAAGCCUGAUCCAGCCAUGCCGCGUGAAGGAUGACGGCCCUCCGGGUUGUAAACUUCUUUUAUACGGGAAUAAACCCCCUGAUUCUUCAGGGGCUGAAUGUACCGUAAGAAUAAGGAUCGGCUAACUUCGUGCCAGCAGCCGCGGUAAUACGAAGGAUCCAAGCGUUAUCCGGAUUUAUUGGGUUUAAAGGGUGCGUAGGCGGACUAUUAAGUCAGUGGUGAAAGCCUGCAGCUUAACUGCAGAACUGCCAUUGAUACUGAUGGUCUUGAGUACAUUUGAGGUGGGCGGAAUGUGUCAUGUAGUGGUGAAAUACUUAGAUAUGACACAGAACUCCGAUUGCGAAGGCAGCUCACUAAACUGUAACUGACGCUGAGGCACGAAAGCGUGGGGAUCAAACAGGAUUAGAUACCCUGGUAGUCCACGCCCUA